rnacentral:rRNA from 1 species
CCAAUCGCGUCUGAGUUGCUGUCGGCUCGGGUUGGCUUCUGUGUUCUACUGGCGGACGGGUGAGUAACAUGUUGAAUUCCCGCGUAUGUGCGGGAUAACAGUUGGAAACGGCUGCUGUACCCCAUAUUGGCUAUCAAGUCUAAGAGUUUUCGCCUACGCACGAGCUUGCAUCUGAUUAGCUUGUUGGUGGGGUUAUGGCCUACCAAGGCUUUUAUCAUUAGCUGAUUUGUUAACAUGAUCAGCCUCACUGGGAUUGAUAACGGAACAGACUUCUACGGAAGGCAUCAGUGAGGAAUUUUCCGCAAUGGGUGACACCCUGACGGACCAUUGCCCCGUGGAGGAAGAAUGCCUUAAGGUUGUAAACUCCUUUUCUCAUUGAAGAAGUUCUGACGGUAUUUGAGGAAUACGCAUCGGCUAACUCCGUGCCAGCAGCCGCGGUAAUACGGGGGAUGCAAGCGUUAUCCGGAAUUAUUGGGCGUAAAGAGUUUGUAGGUGGUCAAGUGUGUUUAACGUUAAAUACUAAAUCUUAACUUUAGAGUUGCGUUAAAAACUACUACACUUGAGUAUAGAACGGGCAAAGGGAAUUUCCAGUGUACCGGUGAAAUGCGUAUAUUUUGCAAAGAACACCAACGGCGAAUGCACUUUGCUAGGUUAAUACAGACACUGAGAAACGAAAGCUAAUGGAGCAUACAGGAUUAGAUACCCUGCUAGUCUUAGCUGUAAACAAUGGAUACUAAGUGGUGCUUUUCUGUGCUACUGUACUAACACGUUGAGUAUCUCAGCCUCGGGAGUACUCUAGCAACAGUGAAACUCAAAGGAAUUGACUG